GACGAACGCUGGCGGUGUGCUUCACACAUGCAAGUCGAACGAGGUAGCAAUACCUAGUGGCGGACGGGUGAGUAACGCGUGGGAAUCUGCCUUUAGAUGGGGGAUAACGGGUCGAAAGACUCGCUAAUACCGCAUAUGACGAAAGUUGAAAGGAGUAAUCCGUCUAAAGAUGAGCCCGCGUCCGAUUAGCUAGUUGGUAGAGUAAAAGCCUACCAAGGCGACGAUCGGUAGCUGGUCUGAGAGGAUGAUCAGCCACAAUGGGACUAGAGACACGGCCCAUACUCCUACGGGAGGCAGCAGUGGGAAUUUUACGCAAUGGCGAAGGCCUGACGUAGCGACACCGCGUGAGCGAAGAAGCCCCUUGGGGUGUAAAGCUCUGUCAGCUGGACGAAAAAAUGACGGUACCAGCAG
rnacentral:rRNA from 1 species